rnacentral:rRNA from 1 species
GACGAACGCUGGCGGCGUGCUUAACACAUGCAAGUCGAACGGAAAGGCCCUGCUUUUGUGGGGUGCUCGAGUGGCGAACGGGUGAGUAACACGUGAGUAACCUGCCCUUGACUUUGGGAUAACUUCAGGAAACUGGGGCUAAUACCGGAUAGGAGCUCCUGCUGCAUGGUGGGGGUUGGAAAGUUUCGGCGGUUGGGGAUGGACUCGCGGCUUAUCAGCUUGUUGGUGGGGUAGUGGCUUACCAAGGCUUUGGAGGGUAGCCGGCCUGAGAGGGUGACCGGCCACAUUGGGACUGAGAUACGGCCCAGACUCCUACGGGAGGCAGCAGUGGGGAAUAUUGCACAAUGGGCGGAAGCCUGAUGCAGCAACGCCGCGUGCGGGAUGACGGCCUUCGGGUUGUAAACCGCUUUCGCCUGUGACGAAGCGUGAGUGACGGUAAUGGGUAAAGAAGCACCGGCUAACUACGUG